AUACUUACUGGCAGGGGAGAUGCCAUGAUCACGAAGGUGGUUUUCCCAGGGUGAGGCUUAUCCAUUUUACUCUGGAUGUUCUGACCCCUGUGAUUUCCCCAAAUGUGGGAAACUCGACUGCAUAAUUUGUGGUAGUGGGGGACUGCAUUUGUGCUUUCCCCUA